rnacentral:rRNA from 1 species
CUACGGGGGGCUCCAGUGAGGAAUUUUCCGCAAUGGGCGCAAGCCUGACGGAGCGACGCCGCGUGAGGGAUGACGGCCUUCGGGUUGUAAACCUCUUUUAUUAAGGAAAAAGGUUAUCGUGCUAAUACCACGGUAAUUUGAUGGUACUUAUUGAAUAAGCCCCGGCUAACUACGUGCCAGCAGCCGCGGUAAUACGUAGGGGGCGAGCGUUGUCCGGAGUUACUGGGCGUAAAGAGCGUGUAGGCGGUUGGACAAGUCAGGUGUGAAAUUCUUCGGCUCAACCGGGGGACUGCGCCUGAAACUAUUCGACUGGAGUUUGGGAGGGGCAACCGGAAUUCCUGGUGUAACGGUGAAAUGUGUAGAUAUCAGGAGGAACACCCGUGGCGAAGGCGGGUUGCUGGACCAAAACUGACGCUGAGACGCGAAAGCGUGGGUAGCAAACAGGAUUAGAUACCCUUGUAGUC